CCGGGAGUGUUAUAGCCCGUUGCAUAAUACCCUGCGGUGGACUGAGGACCGCGCAUCUGCAAGGAUGCUGGCGUAAUGUCACCAGCGACCCGCCCCCAGACCGAUAUCGAACAAGUAGAGUGAUCGAAAGAUGAAAAGCACCUUGAAAARAGGGUUAAAUAGUACGUG
rnacentral:rRNA from 1 species